rnacentral:SRP_RNA from 2 species
GCUGGGCGUGGUGGCUCAUGCCUGUGAUCCCAGCUACUUGGGAGGCUGAGGCAGGAGAAUCGCUUGAACCUGGGAGGUGGAGGUUGCAGUGAGCUGAGAUCGUGCCACUGCACUCCAGCCUGGGUGACAGAGUGAGACUCCGCCUCAA